GACGAACGCUGGCGGCGUGCCUAAUACAUGCAAGUAGGACGCAGUUGCGAACGGGUGAGUAACGCGUAGGUAACUACCUAUUAGAGGGGGAUAACUAUUGGCAACGAUAGCUAAUACCGCAUACUAGUAGAUGGACCUGCGUUGUAUUAGCUAAUAGGUAGGGUACUGGCCUACCUAGGCAACGAUACAUAGGCGACCUUGGAGGGUGAUCGGCCACACUGGGACUGGGACACGGCCCAGACGCCUACGUGAGGUAGCAGGAGGGAAGCUUCGGCAAUGGGGGGAAUCCUUACCGGGCAACGCCGGGUGGUUGAAGAAGGUUUUCGGAUCUGAAAACUCUUUUGUGAAUGAAGCGGUACUUAACCAAAAAGGGACGGAUAACUACGUGCCAGCAGCCGCGGUAAUAC
rnacentral:rRNA from 1 species